rnacentral:lncRNA from 1 species
AACUAAAAGAAAUCCAUCGGACUCCAAACUGAUUGAAGUCUGCAUAGUCCCUUUCCUUGCCUAUAAAUAAAGGGGAAGGCAUUCGUUCAGGAUAUCGACCGAGCAUGAGAGAUAGAUCGAGAGAGGAAUUUCGAUUCUGAGUGGUAGAGUCCCUCUUCCUAAUCUCCCAUCUUCUUCUCUCCUCUCCUCCUCUUAUCUUCUUCCCUCUAAUCUUCUUGUUUUUCAGUCAUCUUCUCCACAAAACUCAUCUUUUCUUCCUAAUCUUCCUCUGUCUACUUCCUUCAUGACAGACACCCUCACUGAAGGCUUUGUCUUCUCCGCAUAAACA